rnacentral:lncRNA from 1 species
UUUUUUUUAUUUUUUAUUUCACCCUGUUUUUACACUUUAAGGACAUCUAUAAUGAAUUCUAUAAACAAUUUUUACUUUAAAAUAUUCCUUGUUUUUCAUAGCUUAGGUCUCCCCCUUUUUUAGUAGAAAAGAACGUGACUGUAAUCAAGAUUUAGAAAUCUUAACUAGAAUAGAUGAGUUAUUUCUUUAAGGAAAUAAAAAUGUUGCAUUGUGUAAACUAGUAUUUAUUCUUUGCAUUUUACUUUUUAAGUAUUUAUAUGAAUGGACAUCAUAAAAUUUAGUUUAGAAUUUAUAACUCAAAAUGGUUGUCAGUAGAUAAGAUGCUUUUAUAUAUACAUGGGAAUUUUCAGUUAGACAUGAUGGACAUAAUGGAGCCUAGUACCUUUUGCCAAAGCUUAAAGAAGAACCUUGUAAUAGUCCACAGUUCUUGGUGAACUAUGUGUAAUAUUUAGUUUAAAAAGUGCUCCUCCAAAACACUGAAAAUUAUUUGUCUAAACUUGGGUGUAGCCCUGACUGUCCUGGAAUUCACUUUGUGAACCAGGCUGGCUUCAAACUCAGAAAUUCCCCUGCCUCUGCCUCCCAAGUGCUGGGAUUAAAGGCGUGUGCCACCAUGCCCGGCUUAAACUUGGGUGCCUUAAUGUGACUGCUGAAUGAACAUAGACUCAGAAGGACAAUCAGCUUUUAUGUUAGUUAUAGUAAGAGCACAUGACAUCUCCUUAUCCAUAGGCUAAGAAUGAAGACUGGCCCCUCCAUUACUGAAGAUGAUAGAGUAUAUAAUGAACCCUUAUCAAGAAUUAUUAGAUAAUAGUUGAGUGGAUGGAUUUUUAGAGUAUGACCAUGUAAUCAUUCCAUGACAGUUACUGGCCUCAUUUAGGAGUGCCAUUGCUGGGAGUCCUUAGGGUCUUCCUUGCUUUAAAAAGUGCUGCUAACAUAGGUUAAAGGAGGUUAAAUUCAAAUUUAGUUUAAAGCAGGCAAUUUGUGUUAUAUUUUCUUUGAUCUUUCCCUUUUUCUUUCCUUCUAAAUACUUCACUAUCUGAAUACUACCUUACUGAUACACAGCCUGAAUAAUAAUUACCAUUAUUGAUUCAAAGUAGAGGAUUUACUGAUUGCUUGAGAUGCCUGUGUCUACAUUAGUAUACAUCCAGAUGAAGAGAUCUUGGUUUCUAAAAUGCCACUGCACCUCAGAGUAGUCACAUAAGGCAUGCUUGAACUGUUGGUUCAAGAGUAAGGGUCACUCAAGUACAUGCCUGGUUGGUGGCUAGAAAAUCUUAUAUCUCCUGAUUAACAUGUUUUUUUCAUACUAAAAUAUCCUGUCAUUGCCCACUUAUUUUUAAGGAGUGUAAAAUGUUUUUCACAAGCUCCCUGAACACUCGUUGAUUGCUAGUGGGGACUUUGGUAUACAAAACACUGAUUUAAGUUCAUUUAAUGACAUUGAGUUUCUUUACUACUCGACUUGAGAGGGCUUGUCCUAUAAUGUACUAUAUAUUUUGGGAAAAAGAUCAGUGCAUAUCAUGCCAAAUAAUUUUGCAUGAAGUAAAAACAGCAAUUUAAAUUUUUAAUGUAUAAUCAAGGUAAUUAAUUAGUUCUACAUUUAUUGGACUUGAUUUUCAUGUACUGUGCUAAGUCCUUCGCAUAUAUUUCUGAUCCCAGAGUAACUCUUAUCAUUUCAGAGCUACUAUUUCUGUUUGGCAGGUGAAAACCCUAAGGCACAGAGCAGGUAAGGAGACCUUCAAGGUCUAUAGCUGACACAGUCUCAGACUUAAAUCUAGUAUAAUGGGAGUGAAUAAUGUCUUUUUUUUAUAAUAUAUGCUGUAUUUUUCUUAUUUGUGGAACAUUAUAUUUUUUAUUUUG